rnacentral:lncRNA from 1 species
GACCUUUUUAUUUUUCAUAAACAGAGAAAGAAAGAAAGAAACAUGCUAUCACAACCUGAUCUGACUCUAAAAAUCAACUUGGCUUCAUCCUCCUUUUAAAGGGGCCCAUGUGAAAUAUACAUAGGAUUUUUAUGAUUGCAAUGCUUGACUUCAUUGCUUGUCGUUACUCUCAACAUUUUGCCUAAUUAUUGAAGAGCAUAAAAGGUGCUACAGGUCUUGUUGUAGUCUUGGAAAAUUUGGUGCUUAGUUUAUUAGUAGUAUGAUCAAUAUAUUAGUGUUUUUUGUUUAGUUGAUCCAUUAUUUGAUUAGUCG